rnacentral:lncRNA from 1 species
AAGUCUUCACCAGGAAAUACUAAUUUCUUGCAAUUUGCAACAUGGAGCUCGCUAAUUCCUAUCUAAUUUUCCAGAUAUGAUGGCUCUGGUAAGUUCUAUUUUAUGCAGAAAAUCAAUAUUACCUUUUGGUCAAGUCUUUAAUAUAAUUAUUUUCCAAAUAGUCACUUUUCUAGCUAGAGGAUCUUUUAUAACUGUAUCUGAAAUUUGGAGUUGAGACUAAUGCUUAUUCUGUUAUUUAGAUUAAGGCUAAGUCUAAGCCAUUUGGAUAUCUUCUUUUGUGAAGGUUCUUUCAAGUCUUUUGCCAAUGUUUCAAAUUGUGUUUAUGCCGUCUCCUUAUUGCUUUUCUUUACUGCAUGUAUUUUUUUUUCUUCAACUUUUAUUUUAAGUUCCAGGUUAUAUCUAUGCAGGAUGUGAAGGUUUGUUACAUAGGUAAAUGUGUGCCAGGGUUGUUUGCUGCACAGAUCAACCCAUCACCUAGGUAAUCAGCCCAGCAUCCAUUAGCCAUUCCUCCAGAUGCAUGUGUGUUUUUUAUUGUAUGAUUUCCUGAGUGUUCUUUAUAUGGUUUUAUUGUUUUCAUUUCUUUGAGUUGGAUUUGCUGCUCUCUUAUCUUGAUUAUUGAAAUGGAAGCUAUAACAUUGUCAGUGCUUCUUUUUUUAUAAAACAUCGUUUCUUUUUGAGUACUCUUUUAGGUAUAUUACACAAUAUUUCAUUUGUUAUAUUUUUAUCAUUCAAUUAAAAUAUUUUUACAUUCUACUGAGAUUAUUUUUUAACCCACACUUUAUGUGGAAGGGUAUCAUUUAAACUUAUUUAGGAAUUUUCUUUUUUUGACUUUUAUUUAAAGUUCAGAGUUACAACUGUAGGUUUGUUACAUAGGUAAACUUUUGUCAUGGGGGUUUAUUGUGCAAAUUAUUUCACCACCCAGGUAUUAAGCCUAGUACCCAUUAGUUAUUUUUCCUGACUGCCUCCCUCCUCCCACCCUCCACCUUCUGAAAGGCCCCAGUGUGUGUUGUUCCCCUGUAUGUGUCCGUGUGUUCUCAUUACUUAGCUCCCACUUAUGAUUGAGAAUUUGUGAUAUUUAGUUUUCUGUUCCUGUGUUAGUUUGCUGUGGAUAAUGGCCUUCAGCUACAUCCAUGUUCCUGCAAAAAACAAGAUCUCAUUCUUUUCUAUGGCUGCAUAGUAUUCUGUGGUAUAUAUGUACCACAUUUUCUUUUUUAAACUUUUUUAAAAUUAUACUUUAAAUUCUAGGAUACAUGUGCAGAACGUGCAGGUUUGUUACAUAGGUAUACAUGUGCCAUGGUGGUUUGCUGCACCCAUCAACCCGUGACCUAUAUUAGGUAUUUCUCCUAAUGCUAUCCCUCCCCUAGCAAUCCAACCCUUGAAAGACUCCAGUGUGUGAUGUUCCCCUCCCUGUGCCCAUGUGUUCUCAUUGUUCAACUCCCACUUAUGAGUGAGAACAUGCAGUGUUUGGUUUUCAGUUCUUGUGUUAGUUUGCUGAGAAUGAUGGUUUCCAGCUUCAUCCAUGUCCCUACAAAGGACAUGAACUCAUCUUUUUUUAUGGCUGCAUAGUAUUCCAUGGUGUAUAUAUACCAUAUUUUCUUUAUUCAGUCUAUCAUUGAUGGGCAUUUGGGUUGGUUCCAAGUCUUUGCUAUUUUGAACAGUGUCGCAAUAAACAUAUGUGUGCAAGUGUCUUUACAGUAGAAUGAUUUAUAAUACUUUGGGUAUAUAUCCAGUAAUGGGAUUGCUGGAUCAAAUGGUAUUUCUGGUUCUAGAUCCUUGAGGAAUCACCACACUGUCUUCCACAAUAGUUGAGUGAAUUCACAAUCCCAACAACAGUCUAAAAGCGUUCCUAUUUCUCCGCAUCCUCUCCAGCAUCAGUUGUUUCCUGACUUUUUAAUGAUCACCAUUCUAACUAGCAUGAGAUGAUGUCUCAUUGUGGUUUUGAUUUGCAUUUCUCUAAUGACCAGUGAUGAUGAGCUUUUUUUCAUAUGUUUGUUGGCUGCAUAAAUGUCUUCUUUUUAGAAGUGUCUGUUAAUAUGCUUUGCCCACUUUUUGAUGGGUUGUUUUUUUCUUGUAAAUUUAAGUUCUUUGUAGAUUCUGGAUACUGGUCCUUUGUCAGAUGGAUAGAUUGCAAAAAUUUUCUGCCCUUCUGUAGGUUGCCUGUUCACUCUGAUGAUAGUUUCUUUUGCUGAGCAGAAACUCUUUAGUUUAAUUAGAUCCCAUUUGUCAAUUUUGGCUUUUGUUGCCAUUGCUUUUGGUGUUUUAGUCAUGAAGUCUUUCCCCAUGCCUAUGUCCUGAAUGAUAUUGCCUAUGUUUCUUCUAGAGUUUUUAUGGUUUAGCUCUUACAUUUAAUUCUUUAACCCAUCUUGAGUUAAUUUUUGUGUAAGUUGUAAGGAAGGGGUCCAGUUUCAGUUUUCUGCAUAUGGCUAGCCAAUUUUCCCAACACCAUUUGUUAAAUAGGGAAUCCUUUCCCCAUUGCUUGUUUUUGUCAGGUUUGUCAAAGAUAAGAUGGUUGUAGAUGUGUGGUGUUAUUUCUGAGGCCUCUGUUCUGUUUCAUUGGUUUAUAUAUCUAUUUUGGUACCAGAACCAUGCUGUUUUGGUUACUGUAGUCUUGUAGUAUAGUUUGAAGUCAGGUAGCAUGAUGCCUCCAGCUUUGUUCUCUUUGCUUAGGAUUGUCUUGGCUAUGCAGCCUCUUUUUUGGUUCCAUAUGUCAUUUAAAUUAGUUUUUAUUAAUUCUGUGAGGAAAGUCAAUGGUAGCUUGAUGAGGAUAGCACUGGAUCUAUAAAUUACUUUGGACAAUAUGAUUAUUUUCAUGAUACUGGUUCUCCCUACCCAUGAGCAUGGAAGGUUUUUCAAUUUGUUUGUGUCCUCUCUUAUUUCCUUGAGCAGUGUUUUGUAGUUCUCCUUGAAGAGGUCCUUCAUGUCCCUUGUGAGUUCUGUCUCAGGUAUUUUAUUCUUUUUGUAGCAAUUGUGAAUGGGAGUUCACUCAUGAUUUGGCUCUCUGUUUGUCUAUUAUUGGUAUAUAGGAAUGCUUGUGAUUUUUGCACAUUGAUUUUGUAUCCUGAGACUUUGCUGAAACUGCUUAUCAGCUUAAGGAGUUUUGGGGCUGAGACAAUAGGAUUUUCUAAAUAUACAAUCAUGUCAUCUGCAAACAGAGACAAUAUGACUUCCUCUCUUCCUAUUUGAACACGCUUUAUUUCCUUCUCUUGCCUGACUGCCCUGGCCAGAACUUCCAAUACUAUGUUGAAUAGGAGUUGUGAGAGAGGGCAUCCUUGUCUUGUGCCGGUUUUCAAAGGGAAUGCUUCCAGUUUUUGCCCAUUUCGUAUGAUAUUGGCUAUGGGUUUGCCAUAAGUGGCUCUUAUUAUUUUGAGAUAUGUUCCAUCAAUACCUAGUUUAUUGAGAGUUUUUAUCAUGGAGGGCUGUUGAAUUUUGUUGAAGGCCUUUUCUACAUCAAUUGAGAUAAUCAUGUGGUUUUUGUCAUUGGCUCUGUUUAUGUGAUGGAUUACAUUUAUUGAUUUGUGUAUGUUGAAGCAGCCUUGCAUCCCAGGGAUAAAGCCGACUUGAUUGUGGUGGAUAAGCCUUUUUUUUUUUGAGAUGGAGUCUCACUUUGUCGCCCAGGCUGGAGUGCAGUGAUGCGAUCUCCGCUCACUGCAACCUCCACCUCCCAGGUUCACGCCAUUCUCCUGCCUCAGCCUCUUGAGUAGCUGGGACUACAGGCACCUGCCACCACGUCCAGCUAAUUUUUUGUAUUUUUAGUAGAGAUGGGGUUUCCCUGUGUUAGCCAAGAUGGUCUGGAUCUCCUGACCUCAUGAUCCACCCACCUUGGCCUCCCAAAGUGCUAGGAUUACAGGCGUGAGCCACCGCACCCGGCCGUGGAUAAGCUUUUUGAUUUGCUCCUGGAUUCGAUUUGCCAGAAUUUUAUUGAGGAUUUUUGCAUCGAUGUUCAUCAGGGAUAUUGGCCUGAAAUUUUCUUUUUUUGUUGUGUCUCUGCCAGGUUUUGGUAUCAGGAA